rnacentral:rRNA from 1 species
ACGAGAGAACAUAUGCUCUCUUGGUGGCGAGUGGCGGACGGGUGAGUAAUAUAUCGGAACGUGCCUAGUAGCGGGGGAUAACUACUCGAAAGAGUGGCUAAUACCGCAUACGCCCUACGGGGGAAAGGGGGGGAUCGCAAGACCUCUCACUAUUAGAGCGGCCGAUAUCGGAUUAGCUAGUUGGUGGGGUAAAGGCUCACCAAGGCAACGAUCCGUAGCUGGUUUGAGAGGACGACCAGCCACACUGGGACUGAGACACGGCCCAGACUCCUACGGGAGGCAGCAGUGGGGAAUUUUGGACAAUGGGGGAAACCCUGAUCCAGCCAUCCCGCGUGUAUGAUGAAGGCCUUCGGGUUGUAAAGUACUUUUGGCAGAGAAGAAAAGGUACCUCCUAAUACGAGGUACUGCUGACGGUAUCUGCAGAAUAAGCACCGGCUAACUACGUGCCAGCAGCCGCGGUAAUACGUAGGGUGCAAGCGUUAAUCGGAAUUACUGGGCGUAAAGCGUGUGUAGGCGGUUCGGAAAGAAAGAUGUGAAAUCCCAGGGCUUAACCUUGGAACUGCAUUUUUAACUGCCGAGCUAGAGUAUGUCAGAGGGG